rnacentral:rRNA from 1 species
AUUGAACGCUGGCGGCAGGCCUAGCACAUGCAAGUCGAACGGUAACAGGAAGCAGCUUGCUGCUUUGCUGACGAGUGGCGGACGGGUGAGUAAUGUCUGGGAAACUGCCCGAUGGAGGGGGAUAACUACUGGAAACGGUAGCUAAUACCGCAUAACGUCGCAAGACCAAAGAGGGGGACCUUAGGGCCUCUUGCCAUCGGAUGUGCCCAGAUGGGAUUAGCUAGUAGGUGGGGUAACGGCUCACCUAGGCGACGAUCCCUAGCUGGUCUGAGAGGAUGACCAGCCACACUGGAACUGAGACACGGUCCAGACUCCUACGGGAGGCAGCAGUGGGGAAUAUUGCACAAUGGGCGCAAGCCUGAUGCAGCCAUGCCGCGUGUAUGAAGAAGGCCUUCGGGUUGUAAAGUACUUUCAGCGGGGAGGAAGGGAGUAAAGUUAAUACCUUUGCUCAUUGACGUUACCCGCAGAAGAAGCACCGGCUAACUCCGUG